rnacentral:rRNA from 1 species
GAUGAACGCUGGCGGUCUGCUUAACACAUGCAAGUCGAACGGGGUAGAAGAUUAGUGGCGGACGGGUGAGUAACGCGUGAGAAUCUGCCUCCAGGUGGGGACAACCAUUGGAAACGAUGGCUAAUACCGGAUGAGCCCUGGGUAAAAGAGAAAUGCCUGGAGAAGAGCUCGCGUCUGAUUAGCUAGUUGGUGGGUAAAGCCACCAAGGCAGCGAUCAGUAGCUGGUCUGAGAGGAUGACCAGCCACACUGGGACUGAGACACGGCCCAGACUCCUACGGGAGGCAGCAGUGGGGAAUUUUCCGCAAUGGGCGAAAGCCUGACGGAGCAAACCGCGUGAGGGAGGAAGGCUCUUGGGUUGUAAACCUCUUUUCUUGGGGAAGUGACGGUACCCAAGGAAUCAGCAUCGGCUAACUCCGUGCCAGCAGCCGCGGUAAUACGGAGGAUGCAAGCGUUAUCCGGAAUUAUUGGGCGUAAAGCGUCCGCAGGUGGCCGAUAAGUCUGUUGUUAAAGUGGGCUUAACCCAUAUCGGCAAUGGAAACUGGGCUAGAGUUGGUAGGGGUCAGGGGAAUUCCCAGUGUAGCGGUGAAAUGCGUAGAUAUUGGGAAGAACACCGGUGGCGAAAGCGCCUGACUGGGCCAAACUGACACUCAUGGACGAAAGCUAGGGGAGCGAAAGGGAUUAGAUACCCCUGUAGUCCUAGCCGUAAACGAUGGACACUAGGUGUUGCCGUAUCGACCCGGCGGUGCCGUAGCUAACGCGUUAAGUGUCCCGCCUGGGGAGUACGCACGCAAGUGUGAAACUCAAAGGAAUUGACGGGGGCCCGCACAAGCGGUGGAGUAUGUGGUUUAAUUCGAUGCAACGCGAAGAACCUUACCAGGAUUUGACAUCCCGCGAAUUCCUGAAAGGGAAAUGCCUUCGGGAGCGCGGAGACAGGUGGUGCAUGGCUGUCGUCAGCUCGUGUCGUGAGAUGUUGGGUUAAGUCCCGCAACGAGCGCAACCCACGUUUUUAGUUGCCAUCAUUUAGUUGGGCACUCUAGAGAGACUGCCGGUGACAAACCGGAGGAAGGUGUGGAUGACGUCAAGUCAGCAUGCCCCUUACGUUCUGGGCUACACACGUACUACAAUGCUUGGACAGAGGGUCGCAGCGCGAGUCAGCUAAUCCCGUAAACCAGGCUCAGUUCAGAUUGCAGGCUGCAACUCGCCUGCAUGAAGGCGGAAUCGCUAGUAAUCGCCGGUCAGCAUACGGCGGUGAAUACGUUCCCGGGCCUUGUACACACCGCCCGUCACACCAUGGGAGUUGGUCACGCCCGAAGUGGUUACCCUAACCGUGGAGGGGGACCCCUAAGGCAGGGCUGAUGACUGGGGUGAA